rnacentral:rRNA from 1 species
AUUGAACGCUGGCGGCAGGCUUAACACAUACAAGUCGAGCGGAGAUGAGGUGCUUGCACCUUAUCUUAGCGGCGGACGGGUGAGUAAUGCUUAGGAAUCUGCCUAUUAGUGGGGGACAACAUUCCGAAAGGAAUGCUAAUACCGCAUACGUCCUACGGGAGAAAGCAGGGGACCUUCGGGCCUUGCGCUAAUAGAUGAGCCUAAGUCGGAUUAGCUAGUUGGUGGGGUAAAGGCCUACAAAGGCGACGAUCUGUAGCGGGUCUGAGAGGAUGAUCCGCCACACUGGGACUGAGACACGGCCCAGACUCCUACGGGAGGCAGCAGUGGGGAAUAUUGGACAAUGGGCGGAAGCCUGAUCCAGCCAUGCCGCGUGUGUGAAGAAGGCCUUUUGGUUGUAAAGCACUUUAAGCGAGGAGGAGGCUACUUAGAUUAAUACUCUAGGAUAGUGGACGUUACUCGCAGAAUAAGCACCGGCUAACUCUGUGCCAGCCGCCGCGGUAAAAC